AUCCUAAAAACAGCACAUAUACUAAAAUUGGAAUGAUACAGAGAAGAUUUGCGUGGCCCUUCCACAAGGAUGACACGCAAAUUCGUGAAGCGUUCCAUAUUUUU
ensembl:snRNA U6 U6 spliceosomal RNA